rnacentral:sRNA from 1 species
UUUUUACAAAUUCAUAAGUUUCGUCACUUUUCCUUGUAAAUUACAAGGAGGUUCUUAGAUUUUUUUAAAGGUAAGUAAAUAUGGGGAUUAUCAGUAAACGGCAUAAAACUGAGUCUUUAAAGUCUAAACAAUCCGGAUAAGUCGGUCAAAAGAAAGUUGUGUCGACCUGAUGAAGCUUUGUGGCUCUCCGCUUGGGGCUGAACCAGUCCUAUUAGAUUAUGCACAAGCCCACAAAAGACUUUCUUGUACGUCAAGUUUUUCUUAUAAUCGUAGAAAAUAUAAAAGAAAACAAAAUACUAAAGUAAGAUCUUUUUUUGUCAAUAAAGUAAAGAUUUCCCCUAAAUUAGUUGAAAUUAUGAAUAUCUUAACUCCAAAAAAGUUAGUCACACCUUUCCGUAUAAUAUGGUCAGAUAACAACUUUCGUCUCUUUCUUUGUAACAUUGCAAGGAAAUUAGUAAUUAGAACUUAGGGUCCGAAUGGUGAUUGCGUUUUGCGGUGCGGGAGAAGUGCGGUGCAGUUCAAAUAAUAACAAAAAUACGUAAAUACAUAUGUAUAUGUAAAGAUUUUAAUACUGUUACAGCACUAUUGCGGUGCAGUUUUGGGUGCGGUGUAUAUCACCAUUCAUGAUCUUAGAAUUUAUGUAAAUAUGAGAAUAUUAUUG